CUUUGUUCUUUUGUUCAAUCACCUCUCUGACAUAUAUCAAAAUGAACAAGCUUCUCCUCCUUGUCUUGUCUCCUCUGCUCUUCUGUUCUGUGGCCCAGGGUCUUUGGUGCAUUUCAGCAGAACAAGGGAAACCAGGUGUUCCAGGUUCUGAGUGCUUUGCCUGUGGUGAAGAACAAUGUUAUGUAUAUGCUGUAUAUCAAAGGAAUAAGCUUUUCGAUUGGAAAUAUGGUUGCACCGAUAUGCAGAAUGACUAUCGUAAGCAAUGCAACACGACAGAGACUGGGAAAAGGGUAACAAUAAAAUUCAGAUGCUGCACUACUUAUCAUUGUAAUAGUGGAACACCCACUUACAUUUAGCCAUUGCUUUAGAAGGGGCAGUGAUGGGAAGAGAAAUCUGCCGUCUGUGUCUCUCCACUCUGCCCUGCUGCACGCAACAUGCCUUCCAGAGAACGCUUUCAUCCUGUUGCUUAAUGAUAUCUAACUACC